GCUUCAACUUGAAUUCUGAAUUAGGUUCUUGUAGUGUGAACAGUGUUCUGAAUAUUUACAUAUUUUUUUCUUAGCAGAGCAUUGUCCUAAAAUGUGCUAUGUUUCUGGAUUGCCAUAAUUGCUCUGUAGGAGACAUUUGAAUCUCUCAGGCAGAGCUUCCUACUGAAAUCAAUGGAAGGUUUGCUUAAAAAUCAAUUGGAAGGUUUGGCCCUGAAACUUAAGACAAUGGGGGCUCCUCAAUCAUAUCAAGAGAAGUGAUUAAGAUACCACAAACAAACUGCUAAUCCACACGUAAAGGAACAUGUGCUACUCUAAAAGCAACCAUCUCUACCAGUGUGUAACUCUGUUUAACUUUGGUGGGAGCUUUGCCUGGAAAAGUGCAGUAGAAUCAAGUACUAAAUGUGAAGCAAUGUCAUCGGAAUUAUUAAUCAAACAUUUGUUGCUGAACUAAGGUCACUUACCAAGAGCAGAUUGGUCUUUAAAUAAACUACACAGGCAACAUCGCUGAUUUCUUGGUUCAAAGAACUUCUGGUCCUUGGGGAUUGGGAAAGCAAGAAAUGAAUGUGAACGUUCAGAGCAUCAAACUGCAUGUUCCCAAAAGGACAGACUAAACUGAUGAAACAAUUCCCAAUCUUUCUCAAAAGGCCUUUUGGACCUUCAAAAAGCUGACUGGGUUUUGACAUGCAUAACAGGGAUUUACAGAAUUACUCCUUUGGGAAGUAAGGAAGUGGAAGUACAGAUUGCUUUUGGAUAUUCCAAGCCUCCUCGACCUUAAUUGUUACAUUUUGGUUCUUCUUGAGCUGAAACGAGGAAUAUAGUGUGUCUCUGCUACUACACAUAUCAUCACCUCUGCGUCAAGCAAGAACAUAGCAGCAGCAAGUCAACAUUGAAAUCACGUUAAUGAUGUGCUGAACAAGAAAGCUGGAGAAUCCAGAGGCAAGGCAGUCCCUAAUCCUGUUGCUGGCUGUAGGAUUCCCAGCUGUCAGAAAUCAAGGAUCCAGGCACAGUGCAGCUUAAACAUCAUGGUCAGAGAGAGGCUGACAGCACAGUACCUGUACAUUUUGAAAACAGGUUUGUGGGAAAUGAAUACUUCCUGUGCUGUGUAUAGUGAUGCCGGGUGACGUAGCCUGUGCAUUCAAAUUCAAUGACCUCUUCAACCAUGUGCUAUUAUACUUGGGGUCCAGAGGCUACAGCCUGAGCUAAUGUACCAAUGUUUAACCCCAGAAAUGAACGACAAAGAAAAGCAAGUCUUGUAAUCUAUGUGGAAUGCCAAUAAAAUGCAUUUUCAGUCUUGAAAUUGUCACUGCAUCUUCUGUAAAGAACACAGAAAUAUUUUCAUGUCAGUAAAGCCUACAGCAUGUGUCAG